GGGGCGGCAUUGACGUCAGGCGUGCGGCUGCUACUCAGUUGCUCCGAAACAGGUGCUGCGAGUCCCGAGCGGUCCCGAACCGUCCAGUCCACACCGAACUAGUGUCCAGCUCGUUCGUGGGGAGGAGAGGGUCUUGCUGGGGCGUGAGGCCCGUGCGGAGCCCCUGGGUGGGAGCAGACGGCGGAGACGGACUGGAAGUGGGGAACGCAAAGCCGGGCGCUCAGUGACUCCGGGCUUUCAUUGAAGGUGCUGCAGUGGGGAAAGGAAUCCCGCCUGCUGUUGAAAGCGGUGGAUUGAGGAUCUGAGUAGAGGUGAAAUCUGAGCGGGGUCCUGAGGGAUGGGGACUAAUCUCUUGGUAGCGAUGGGGUUAGAAGAGUAGGGUGAAGGGCAGAGGGGAACCCCAGGGAAGGAGCCCUUGCGCUGGAGGUAGAGGAAAAAUGAUUCGGUGACUGACUGGAACAAAAGUUUGGAAAAUUGGGCUAGGGUCGGUUAGGAAAAACAGCGCUGUGGGAAGCCAUCGAAGCGUCACCUUGAUUCGGGUGGGGGGAACACGGGUGGAGGGACACUGAGGCUGGUAUGAUGGUCUCAGAGAGAGGUGAGGACGCCCGGAACUCUGGUCUGAUGGGAUUCCGGGAACCCUGCUUAUGACGUAUUUAUAACAGACAGGGAUGGGGACUCGGGCAACCAGGUGCUGUACACCCCUGCCAUUGUUAGCAGAUUAAAAAAAAACAAACUUUCUUAAGAGAGAAAAGAAGCACCCGAAGGCCACCCACUUUCUUGUAAACCUCAUUUGACUGUAUUUAAUGACUAGCUAAGGAUUUGCUCCCCUCACUAUGCACAGAGAUUGUAAGGUGCACAGCGCUUGCCCUUCAAGAGUUUCAACAGUAUCUUACAAAAACAACUCAUCCUCAGGGUGAAACCCAAACCUCUAGAGAUUAGGAGAUUUAAUGGUAGGUUAUUAAAGGAGAAUCAUGGCCUAAAACAUGAAUGUGGGGCAUUGGGUAAGCAUUUCAUAAAGGGGCCCCAUGUUCUUUGUUAAUCCAAGAACAAAGGUCUCCAGCCCAGAGUUCUCCCUUACCUACCUGUUUCCCUUAGCUUGUGGACUUCUCAGUAUAAGGCUGCUUAAGUGUUACUUGGCCAUUUUGUCUUAAUUUCCUGAGAAGGAAGAAGAUAUUUUGAUUAUAUGAAGAGGAAUGAUUUGGUGAUUUCAGAAUUUUUCCCAGCCCUGAAGUUCACUGAUGCUGUGACAAAAAAAAAAAGCACAGCUGCCCAUUUUACAU